GCCCAGACUCCUACGGGAGGCAGCAGUGAGGAAUAUUGGUCAAUGGGCGGGAGCCUGAACCAGCCAAGUCGCGUGAGGGAAGAAGGUACUGAGUAUUGUAAACCUCUUUUGCCAGGGGACAAAGACGGCCACGGGUGGCCGUAAGAGGGUACCUGGAGAAAAAGCAUCGGCUAACUCCGUGCCAGCAGCCGCGGUAAUACGGAGGAUGCGAGCGUUAUCCGGAUUUAUUGGGUUUAAAGGGAGCGUAGGCCGGUCUUUAAGCGUGCCGUGAAAUUUUGUGGCUCAACCAUGAGAGUGCGGCGCGAACUGGAGACCUUGAGUGCGCGGAAGGCAGGCGGAAUUCGUGGUGUAGCGGUGAAAUGCU
rnacentral:rRNA from 1 species